rnacentral:rRNA from 1 species
CGCGUAGGCGGGUGCUCAAGUCCGGGGUGAAAUCCUCCAGCUCAACUGGAGAACUGCCUCGGAUACUGGGCGUCUCGAGUGUGGUAGGGGUAUGCGGAACUAUCGGUGGAGCGGUGAAAUGCGUUGAUAUCGAUAGGAACUCCGGUGGCGAAGGCGGCAUACUGGACCACUACUGACGCUGAUGCGCGAAAGCCAGGGGAGCGAACG